rnacentral:rRNA from 1 species
GACGAACGCUGGCGGCGUGCUUAACACAUGCAAGUCGAACGAUGAAGCCCAGCUUGCUGGGUGGAUUAGUGGCGAACGGGUGAGUAACACGUGAGUAACCUGCCCUGGACUCUGGGAUAACCCCGAGAAAUCGGAGCUAAUACCGGAUAGGACCUUGGAUCGCAUGAUUUUUGGUGGAAAGUUUUUCGGUUUGGGAUGGACUCGCGGCCUAUCAGCUUGUUGGUGAGGUAAUGGCUCACCAAGGCGUCGACGGGUAGCCGGCCUGAGAGGGUGACCGGCCACACUGGGACUGAGACACGGCCCAGACUCCUACGGGAGGCAGCAGUGGGGAAUAUUGCACAAUGGGCGCAAGCCUGAUGCAGCAACGCCGCGUGCGGGAUGACGGCCUUCGGGUUGUAAACCGCUUUUAGUAAGGAAGAAGGGGCUUCGGCCUUGACGGUACUUGCAGAAAAAGGACCGGCUAACUACGUGCCAGCCGCCGCAGUAAGAC